GGUGAGUUGUGUUUAGUCUCUUUGCUAAAGAAAUCAGGCAAAGUUAAAAAGAUGUUUGGUGGCUAGUGCUGUGGCUGGGACCCUAUAUGUACUGUUGAUGAAGUUAGGUGCUGUUCUGAGCAUUAUUUUUGGCUAUAGAGUGGCGUUUUGGUUGAGGUUUGUUUAUGGCUCCUCAGACCGCUGUGUAUUACUAUCCUGCGGUCGUUACUAAAG